CUGAGAAUGAAGGGAGAGAAUCAAAUUACGUAAACAACCAGAAAAAAAAAAUCAAGAGAUCAAUUAAUUUCAGUUCAUAUAAUCAACAAAAAGAAACGUCUAGCAAAUCCCAAAUCACUGAAAUCUUUUGGAUUAAAGGAAGAAAAGAAAGAGAGAGAGAGAGAAAUGGAUCUGCAUAAAUAAAUGUUAACAAAGGUAAAUAUCUAAUCAGAUAUAAAUUUCUCUUCCAAAAGCCUAGAUCUAGAGGAAUAUCCACCAAAAUCUCAAGAAACAAACAGAAGGAAAAUGAGAGAGGCAGGGAUCCCACCAAAAUUUCAAGAAACAAACAGAUUGAAAAUGAGAAAGGGAGGGUUACCUGAAUGCCAUGCUCGAGGCAGUAAAGUUCCCAGCAAGCAUUUCCGACCUGAAUACCGGCCUGACCAAUGUGAAUCGAGAUGCACUCUCUCAUCUUGUCUGAUUCAAAAAUAACAAAGAGAAUUCAAGAAAAACGUUAAAGAAAUAAUCGAAAAACAGAGAUUGAUCGAAAGCUAAUGCUAAGAGCGGCGUUUAUGAAGACGCCUUCAAGUUCCAGAUGUGAGAUGUUCUGAUCUCGCGUUUCUGGAUUAUAUACAGGGAGAAAUAUGGGGUAAAUGGUGGGUACAGGAUGGCACAAUCCAUUGGUUAGUUAACCAUGGUUAAAUAAACCGAUCAAAUUAUUAUUGGCUACUGUACUCCAGGUUGGCCCAACGAACCAUUAACCAUGGUCAAUUGCCCGCUCAAUUUUGAAUUUUUAUUUCGUUGGAAAAAAUUAGAAACAUAUGCGUGC
rnacentral:misc_RNA from 1 species